UCGCCUGUUUAACAAAAACAUCGUUUUAUUUUUACUAUAUAAAAUAAUGUCUGCCCAGUGAUUUAAUUAUUUAACGGCUGUAGUACUCUGACUAUGCAAAGGUAGCAUAAUCAUUUGUUUUUUAAUUGAAAUCUAGAAUAAAAGAUAAAAUAAAGUUUAAUUCUAUCAAUAUUUAAUAAAUGAAAUUUUAAUUAUAGUAAAAAUACUAUAAUAUAUUUAAAAGACGAUAAGACCCUAUAAAACUUUAAACUAAGCUGUUUUUUAAUUAAAUUUUAUUAAUAAAAUUUAAUUAAAAGACAAAGUUUUUAUCUGGGGCGGAAAUUUUAAAAUUUAAAUCUAUUAAUAUUUAACUAACACUAAUAAGUGUCACUUUAUGAUCCAAUUUUAUUGAUUACAAAACUAAGUUACUUUAGGGAUAACAGUAUAAUUUUAUUUAAAAGUUCAUAUUGACAAUAAAGAUUAUUACCUCGAUGUUGAAUUAGGUAAAUAAUUUAAUGAAAAAGUUAAAUAUUUAAGUCUGUUCGACUUUUAAAAACCUACGUGAUCUGAGUUCAGACCGGA
rnacentral:rRNA from 1 species